GGGCCGAUAGACAUUAGGUUAUCGACUACUAAUCGGCAGGUCACGGGUUCGAAUCCCGUUCGGUCCA
rnacentral:tRNA from 1 species